rnacentral:misc_RNA from 1 species
GAUGAAGAACGUAGCGAAAUGCGAUACGUAAUGUGAAUUGCAGAAUUCAGUGAAUCAUCGAAUCUUUGAACGCAUAUUGCGCUCUUUGGUAUUCCGAAGAGCAUGCUUGUUUGAGUAUCAGUAAACACCUCAACCUCUUCUUGAUUUUUCAAAAGGAGGGUGGACUUGAGCUAUCCCAACAACCUUUACCGGUCGGCGGGCGGCUUGAAAUGCAGGUGCAGCUGGACUUUAUCUGAGCUAAAAGCAUAUCUAUUUAGUCCUCGUCAAACAGGAUUAUUACUUUUGCUGCAGCUAACAUAAAGGAUAAUUGUCCUCUUUGCUGACUGAUGCAGGAUUUUACGACACUUUAUGUGUUGUUCAACUCGAUCUCAAAUCAAGUAAGACUACCCGCUGAACUUAAGCAUAUCAAUAAGCGGAGGA